UGCACAGCCCUUAGAUCCAUUUCUGACUUCUAAAGAAAUGCUUGAGUCAUAGUUGUGCCAAAGCAUAAUACCUCCAAUUUUGGUUUUCAUAAUGGAAUGACUUUCGUGCAUUUUAUUCAAACUAUAUUGGGGAACAU